rnacentral:rRNA from 1 species
AUUGAACGCUGGCGGCAGGCCUAACACAUGCAAGUCGAACGAGUGGCGGACGGGUGAGUAAUUUCUGGGAAACUGCCCGAUGGAGGGGGAUAACUACUGGAAACGGUAGCUAAUACCACAUACUUUCGGAAGAGCCCAGAUGGGAUUAGCUAGAAGGUGGGGUAACGGCUCACCUCGGCGACGAUCCCUAGCUGGUCUGAAAGGAUGACCAGCUACCCUAGAACGGAGACGCGGGCCAGACUCCUACGGUAGGCAGCAGUGGGGAAUGUUGCAUAAUGGGCGCAGGCCUGAUACAGCCAUGCCGCGUGUAUGAAGAAGGGCUUCGGGUUGUAAAGUUCUUUCAGCGAGGAGGCGUUACUCGCAGAAGAAGCACCGGCUAACUCCGUGCCAGCAGCCGCGGUAAUUC